UGGGGAAUCUUGCACAAUGGGGGAAACCCUGAUGCAGCGACGCCGCGUGAGCGAUGAAGGUUUUCGAAUCGUAAAGCUCUGUCCUAUGGGAAGAUAAUGACGGUACCAUGGGAGGAAGCCCCGGCUAACUACGUGCCAGCAGCUGCGGUAAUACGUAGGGGGCGAGCGUUGUCCGGAAUUACUGGGCGUAAAGGGUUCGCAGGCGGCAUGGCAAAUCCGAUGUAAAAGGCGAAGGCUCAACCUUCGUAAUCAUCGGAAAAUGUCAAGCUUGAGUGAAGGAGAAAGAAGUGGAAUUCCUAGUGUAGCGGUGGAAUGCGGAGAUAUUAGGAGGAAUACCGAUGGCGAAGGCGACUUGCUGGACUUAAACUGACGCUGAGGAACGAAAGCGUGGGUAGCAAACAGG
rnacentral:rRNA from 1 species